GUUUGGUCCUAGCCUUGAAAUCAGUUAUUAGUUAUUUUACACAUGCAAGUCUCCGCACCCCUGUGAGAACGCCCUUAAACUCCUAAUAGGAACUAGGAGCUGGUAUCAGGAACAUAUUUGCCCAAGACACCUAGCCUCGCCACACCCACAAGGGAAUUCAGCAGUGAUUAACAUUGACCAUAAGCGACAGCUUGACUCAGUUAAACUAAAUAGAGCCGGCCAAUUUGGUGCCAGCCGCCGCGGUUACACCAGAAGCUCAAACUGAUCUCUAUCGGCGUAAAGCGUGAUUAAAGAAGUUAACCCAUUGGAGUUAAACUAAUAUUGAGCCGUGGCACGCCUAUAUUUAAGAAAGUCAUAAACGAAAGUUAUUCCAAUUACACCCACUUGAACUCACGAGACCUGAGACACAAACUGGGAUUAGAUACCCCACUAUGCUCAGUCGUAAACUUUAAAUUACAUCAACCUCGCCAGGGAACUACGGACCAAGA
rnacentral:rRNA from 1 species